GGGGCUGUAGCUCAGUGGUAGAGCACUUGCCUAGCAUGCAUGAGCACUGGGUUCCAUUCUCAGCACCA
rnacentral:tRNA from 1 species